UGUUGCAUCUUUUCCUCCUCUUCAUUUACCAGUAUUCUGUAACUUCAGUCCAAUUUGCACAACAUGCGAGACUGCCUUUAAAAUGCCACUGCCUCAGAUGGCUAAAACAAAGAAGAAAAAAGUUAAAACUGCAAACUGACCUCAUCAAUAAAUGUGUGUGUUGCACUUGCAAAGUGCCAUUUAGCAUUCUGUUGAAUAGCAUACUUUUUUUUACUGUGUAAUUUGGAAUUGUUUAAAAAAAAAUAUAUGUUUAUUUGAACAACAUGUUUUGGUAUUGUAGCCAACACUUUAAAUAAAAGACCUUUGAAUCAAAGCCAGUGAA